UGGCUCUGCUUUUAUCAAUCCCAGGAGAUGCUGUGUCAGUCAAGCUGCGUUUGAAGCUCAGCAUCUCUCUGACAGAGCAGUAAUACAUCCAAUCCCAAGAAUCUGGAUAAAGUCAAGCCCUCUGCCUCUUCUCAUCUUCUAACAAAACUAAACAGGGAUGGUGCUUGAAGGACACUCCAGCAGAUGAGACAGAGGUGGCUUUUUCCUUCCUUGCCUUCUGUAGGUUGGCUUUUUGAGGGGCCUCUGAUGACUCCUCUGAGGCUUUAGAAGCUGGAACAGAGACAAGGAACCUUCAGAGACAUGAAGAACAGAAGCAUGUUGUUGCAGAAAAGGAGAAUUCAAUGUGACAAGUGCCAAAAAAAUGUGUUCUUUCCUUGUCCUGAGCUCUGUACUCAGUAAUGGGUCAGCUACAGCCAUUUCCUGGAGACCCUGGAAAAUGUUCUCUGGUCUGCUGAAACAUUAGAAAACCCUGCUUGCAAAAUUCAGCUUCCGAGGGAUGGCAAAAAUAGUAGGAGCUCAUUCUGUAAGUGUCUUAGAGAUACAGAGGAGACCAAUGCAUGGAUUACCCUCAGCCUCAGUGGAUCAGAAGAUGCUAUUGACCAAAACAAACUAAUUAUUCUUGCCUAAAAAAACAAACACAUGCUUAACUGUGAGCGUUCCCACCUGUGUGGAGUGCUAUUAGCAGCUAUUUCAAACAAUUAAGUAUUGCAUAUAAAGUGGUAUGAGAACAGAAAGUGGCCACAAGUGACCUCUGUCUUAACUAAACAUAAAGUUUUUGGAGGAAGCAAUAGCUUGUCAUAGAUGUGAUUGUUGGUUUAAUUCAACACAGACUUGGAUCAAGUAUGGAAAGCCUAUGGGAAAGAUCAGAGGGCUCAAAAGUAUGACCUACAGGGAAAUACUGUGAGAUAAGGAGUCAUUUAAUCUAAAAGGUAACAUGUGGCAAUAUGUUCUCCCAUUUUGCUGUAUGUUUCAGAAAUACUUUAUCAUAGCAUCACACAUUCAAUAGGUUAGACAUGAAGGGCAGAUGUCUGCAGUUCAAUGCAAGCUGGGCUCAUCUUUGCUUUCUCUUCCAGAGAAGAGGCAAGGCUUCAACAGCCAGCCAAACACCAGGAUCCAGGCUGAGGCUCAAGUACGUGAUGUGCAGACUGUCCCUAACACACUGCAGGACCCAAGCUCAACAAGAUACAGACCACAGGCCAGAUGGCCUUUUCCCUGGGUCUGGGUGGCAUGAGAGUACCACUGACUACUUGGAAAUUGCUUUAAGGAAUGUUUUAACUUCAUUUUGCACUUAAUGUCAGCUUCCCACCUAAGCAGAAGUGUGCUUAAGACAAGGCUUAAAUUGUGAAAGAAAACCACAAUAAAAAUAGCAAGUUGCCAUAAAAAUACAUUUUCUUACCGACAUUUACUUCCAUGAAGAAAACCAAGUAUCUAAUGAUAAGGAAAUAUUUCAUUUUUAACUGGGCAAUGCCAAGGAGAGGCUCCACUCUAAGAUUCAUGCAGAGCUCUUGUGAAUGGCUCACAGUUUUGUGAAUGGACUUAAAUGGCUCUUAGGGGAGGAGAAACAGUUUAUCUGGGGAGUCUUAGCUGGGGCCAAAGAAAGGGCUUUUAAAAAAGUAAAAUACUUUGACAAGUAUCUUGAACUUUUCCUAUCUUGUCUAGAACCCCAAUCCUUAACCCCAGAGCAAUGGUAGUGGUAGUAUUGCGGUAAUAAAUAAAACAAGAAUUAGCUGCAGAUUACUCACCCACUUGAGCUAAGAAUCUAAAACAUUUCAUCUAAAAGCCAAAUCUCAAAUGUAAAUCAGAAGAUGGCAGGCAAGGCAUUCACAGCAAGUUUAUGUUUCUCUAGAAGAUAGAAUUUUUUUCCCUCCUCCUUCAUUUUUCUGACAUUCAGAUAAUGACACAGUUUUCAUGUCCAACAUUGAUUUUUAUCACCACACAAGGAAGAGUAAAGCUGAAAAUGUUCCAUAGCAAACCCUUGCUCUAGCUAAACAUUUUCUGCCAUUUGCUAUUAGUUGACCUUAAGCUGCCAGUGUAUGAAUUUUAGCCUUUCAAGCACAGAAUCAUAGAAUCAUUUAGGUUGGGAAAGACCUUUAAGAUCAUAGAGUCCAACUGUUUACCCAGCACUGCCAAGUCCACCACUAAACCCUGUCCCUCAAUGUCACAUCUACAUGUCUUUUAAAUACCUCCAGGGCUGGUGACUCUACCACUUCCUUACACAAUUGCAGAGCAUGUGCAGAGCAAAUGAAGAUUGUUUUUUUAAGGGGGAUGUGGAUGUUAAUUUUCUGAAAUAAAUCCUUUCCAACAAAA